rnacentral:rRNA from 1 species
UGGGGAAUUUUCUGCAAUGGGCGAAAGCCUGACGGAGCAAUGCCGCGUGGAGGUGGAAGGCCUACGGGUCGUCAACUUCUUUUCCCGGAGAAGAAACAAUGACGGUAUCUGAGGAAUAAGCAUCGGCUAACUCUGUGCC